AGAAUCAACGACUGGCGGCGUGCCUCAGACAUGCAAGUCGAACGCGAAAGUCCCCUUCGGGGGACGAAGUAGAGUGGCGCACGGGUGAGUAACACGUAGGUAAUCUACCUUCGGAUGGGAAGUAACAACCGGAAACGGUUAGCUAAUACCGCAUAAUGCAGCGGCACCUAAUGGUGACAGUUGUUAAAGCGGGGAUUGAAAGACCUCGCGUCUGAAGAGGAGCCUGCGGCGGAUUAGCUUGUUGGAGGGUAACGGCCUACCAAGGCGACGAUCCGUAGCCGGCCUGAGAGGGCGGUCGGCCACACUGACACUGACAUACGGGUCAGACU
rnacentral:rRNA from 1 species